AUUUCCUGGAACAGAUGAGGAACAUUCAUUGGGGCUUGUCCACACUGCAAUAUCGCUCCCAGUUGUACUACAGUUGCUCUGGCUGUAGAUUUAGAUUAUCCUGAUACUGUUUGUCCACAGAUAGGAAAGAUGUUGCUGGGAUGUGCUAGGUCAUACCUGUCCACACGCAUAGGGAAUUGCUCCUUAAGUUCUCACUCCGAAAAUGGGUCCACCCCUUUUGUCUAUUUUCUCUGCCCUUUUCCCACUUAGUGCACUCUCUCUUCCCUUCCCUCCUUGCGUCUUGUGGGCACCAGUCUGCAGUAUGAGUAUCUUAGUCCAGCAGAUGUGGACAACAUCAGGUUCAGGAAAGAUGGGUUAUAUAUUUAUUACAUCUCCCUCUCCCUUCUCUUCAGCGUACAAGUUGUGUUCCUUUUGAUAAGCCACGCAAUCUAGCCUUCUCAGGCCAUGCAGGAUGCAGAUGUGGCUUGGUGUCUGUAUUUUUGGUCUUCCUUCGACAAAGUUUGUGUUAUAGAAACAGAAGAGGUGUGUCCUAGCACAAGAAGCACAGGCGUCAGAACAGGGGGGUCUGGCGAGGUCAAAGCAAGGACCCAUCCACAUUGAUAGCCUCUUCCUACCAAUCAACAGACAGAGGAACCUUUCCUUUCAAAAUGAGGGACAGAGUUUCUCAAACCUUCCUGGCUUUCAUUGGUGGCAUCUUCUUGUCCCUGCGAUUCUGUCAUGCAGAAAUCAUAUAUGCACAGAAGGGCUCUUCACCACAGCUGCCAUGUCUGUGCCCAACCUGCUCUGGAGAGCAUGAAAUGGUGACCUGGUACUUUCACCAUCAAGAGAAAACAACAUUUCUGUUACGUAAAAAAGAAAACCACAUAGAGCGGUCUCUGGCUGCCUGGGACCGCCUGGAGCUGCUUCAAAACUACUCCCUCCUCUUCAUCAAUGUGACAGACAACGAAACUGGUAGAUACUGGUGUGAAUCAGGCAAUUAUUAUGAUCUUGUGAUAGUCACAGGCAAGAGGCAAAUGCUGGAGAGCUGCCAGGCCGAGACGGCCUGCUACGUCUUGAGCUGUUCUGUUUCGGAGAGGGAGCUGCGUGGUGUGGACGUGGUGAGCUGGUGGGAGGACGGAAAGCAGCUCCAGAAGGAAGAUGAGAAAAGAGGGUACCACAUCUUCACAGGGCAAAGAGCAUCUCAGCUCCACAUGUGUCUGAAAAAGAAACCCAGAGAUCGAAGAGUGAAGUGUCGCUUUGAUCGGCAGGCCGAGAUCAACUUCAAUUUGACUGCACAGGGCCAGCAUUUUUGUAUUUAUAACAGUGUGCGGACUUUUCCCCAAGGUACAGAGAAUGAUUGCUUGUCAUCUCAGUGCCCUGAAAACAGUGGAGGUGGGGCACUAUGGAUCUCACUGACUAUUUGUAUCAUACUGCAGUUGCUCAUCAUAUUUGUUCUUACGGUGUUGUUGUGGAGAAGAACCUGUAGUCGGAAGCAUCAAGACCAUCUAAAGGAACUCAGCAAAGAUAUUUCCAAGUUGGAAUACAAGGCACAAGUCUAUGAGAACAUCAAGACCCGAUCGGAGAUCCUGUGACAUGGGAAAUACUCUGCUUCUCACUGACUCAUCUAGUCCUGGAACAUAGCCAGCAGCACUUGAAUAUUAUUACAUUUUCCUCGCUUCUAACCUUUUCCAGGAAUUUUUUUUUCUUGUGGGUUAUUCCUGUGAGACUAUCUCAUCCUCUCCAACCUUUUGUAAAUUUCUAGAUCAGCUGUCCUUAGUCAAUGGCCGUCCAGAGCUGGACAAUAAAAAUUCCAAGGAUUCUGCA
rnacentral:lncRNA from 1 species